UGGCAAUGAGGACAAAUGAUUAAUUGAACUAUUAUGAUAAGUUUAUACGCUAUUCUGAGCCAACA
ensembl:snoRNA SNORD54 small nucleolar RNA, C/D box 54